CUGUCUAAACUGCCGCCUCCGGCGUCGCCUCAGCCGCUCUGUCCCGUUCCUCACCCCCGCCCAGCCUGGCCAGGCAGAAAAAUACGUGUAUAUAUCUUUGAUUUUUCUUCCUUGCAUACCUGCUACUGUAGCCACUCCGCCUUACACCUUCGCCUAGCCGGCUUCCUGUGGGCGGGCAGAAGUGCCCCGGCCAAAACAAGUUCAAAUAACUUUGUUCUCUGACCUCCGCUUUUCCUUAACUCUUCUGCUUUUUUGUGUUCACUCUUGUGCCCCCUCUCCCCAGCCGGGGAUGGGCCGUGGGUGAAGCUUGCUGCUGUAUCUCCAAGUGUGUGCCGGGAGUUUUCAGUUCCUCCUCCCUCCGAGCUCUGCAUUUGCUCACCACAGGAAGCUGCUUUGCUAAGGACCAGCUUCCACUGACCUAUCAUGGCAUCCAACAAAUUUGUCAUUAAGUGUGGGAACUUUGCUGUCUUGGUGGAUGUUCAUAUUUUGCCUCAAGGCUCCAGUAAAGACACCAGCUGGUUUUCAGAUCAUGAGAAAGAGGAGGUCUGCAGGCUGCUGGAAGAAGUUGUUGCGUCAAGGGUCAAACACUACUUGGAGGCACGUAAACAGCGUGGCCAGUGCAAGCCCACGGAACAGGGAUCAUCUGGGCCUUUGUUUCUUACUGCCAACAGUUUGCACAUUACUGCCUACUUUAUGAAGAGAUGGGUUAAUCUCCGUUGUGCUCUAGGGAAACGUUAUCGAGAGCUCCGUGUGUUUCCAGAGAAAUUUAUCGUUUGUGUCAGUAAACUUGACUUUGAUCCAAGUGCUUGGACAUGUGACAAUGGUGGAUUGAAAGAAGAACUUUCCAAUGGGACGUCUAAAUAUUUUACUGAAUCUGCUGAGAACAAGAAGCUUAAGAUUAGUCUGAGUGAACAAAUAAAGCAAGACAUCCUGAGAAAAAUUGUGAAGAGGACAAAACCAAGCAGAAGUAGUGCAAGCAAACCUCAAAUCAGCAAGGACUCCAAGAAAGUGUAUCUUGGCUGGGCAGACUCGCAGACAGAGAACAGAAACAGUGACUGUGAGGCUUCUCUGAGUGCUCGCUGUGCUGUGAAGCGCAGGAGCCCUGGCCUGCUGAAGGACUGCACAAACACAGCUGAGGGCAGCCUGGGCCUCCCUGAGCCAGAGCAGAGAAAGGAUGUUCAUCAGGGACAGCCAGAGGGGGUUCACAGGCAGCACAAACCUCGCUCUCUGCAGCGGCCAGAGGCAAGGCUGCUCGGUGAGAGCCCUCCGUGCAGCUCUGAGUCAGCGCCGCCGGCUCCUGAACAAAGCCAGAGAGUGACCAGAGCACAGGCUCAGCUCGAGACCUGUGGCUCACAGCGAAAGCUGGAGCACCUCACAAAAGUGUCCACUGAAGGGACUCCUUUAACUGACAUCAAUACGGAAAUGAGUGAGUGUGACGAUAAUUGUUUGGGUCCAUUCCUGGAGGAGACAACACCUCUUCAUUCCAAGUUGUUUUCAAAGCAAGAUGUGACAGAGACUGUGGUUGACAAGGAGUCAUUGACUUUGAGAAAAAACCCCUCCUGGUCUCUUUCUGUGAGCAGCAGUGGAGUGCAGAGCCAAAAGGAGCCAAGCACAGCCCCUGAAGAACUGCCUGCAGUGCCAACACCAUGUCUAGAGCUGCGCCCCGUGUCUUCAGAGAAGCUUUCCCAAAAAAGAAAAAAAGAUGUGGAAAAUGGUCUCGGGAAGUUAAAACUGCGAAGGCUUAAGAAGUCAAAAUCUGAAAUACUGCCUUGAUAGCAUGGGUGGUCAGCCAAGGUUGUGCCUAAGCAAAGUGCAGGAAGCAAUUCAAAAUGAUGGAAAACAAUAGAAAUACAAAAUCAAAAUUAGAGAACACAAUAAGAAAAUUUAGUUAACUAAGGAUCUUAGUCAUUUGGCACUGUAAUACAGCUCUUUGGGUGAUGUUUCUCAGUGCUUUGCAGUCAGGUUGCAAAUCCUUACCCAGCUCCAGGCUCUACUAAAAGCUCUUUCCCAGUACCAGCAAAACCAAGGCUGCAAAGAACCUGGUUUGGAGGAAGAAGAGCCUGAGUAACCUGGGUGCAGGAGAAGAUGAGGGCUGAGGGAACGGCCGCGCACGGAGCCUUUCAUCACAGGAUAUCAAAGCGCUCCACUGAACCUGGAGGGAGCUGGCGGUGCUGCUUCUGACGGCUGGCGCAGCACUGAGGGAAGAGCUGCUCCCAGGGGAAAGCAAACUGGGAGGCAGUAAACUAAACAGGCUCCAGUACCUGCCCUGUGAGGUGUGUGAGUGUGAAGAGUAAAAGCAGCACCCAGCCAAAGUAGAGUAGCCACGAUGGAAAUCUUCUAAAGUGAAUUUUCCACCCGCCUGGCUCUUGCACUUCCCGUGAGGACCACAAACGUUGGAAGAGAUGUAGCGAACCCCUUCGGGUGUGCUGUUGGAAGCCACUGCCACAGUGCAGCUGUCAAUUACUGCAGGAAAGCAGAGACCCACAUGAGAAUUACCCAUGCAACCCAAUUCCUCAAGAGCAACAUUUUCACUUCCAGCCACGGACAUUUAGAAGACACUUGUGCCAUUGAGUCAUUUAGGUUGGAAAAGACUUUUAAGACCAUCGAGUGAAACCAUAAACAUAUGACUACAAAUAUGUUUGCUGCUUUAAAAUAACAUUGGACUCUGCCAACCGUGCAUAAAAUAAUCAUAGCAUCUUAUUUGAUGAUUGCUGGAACACAUCCACGGCCUGGAAUAAAUGCAUCAGGCUAUU